AAUAAGCUAUAAACGUGUGUGAGGUAGAAUGCCCCAUCACUAUCAGGCAAAUUACACUGUUUGCUGAAUUAUUUUUCCACAAGGUAAACUACAGCCAUUCAUGGCUGAUACUGGUCUGUAAUAAUCGUUGCUAUUAUGCAGUAUUUACUAUAAACAUAGUAUAUUACACUGAUGGCUGAAUUAUUCCCACAAGGAAAAGGUACAGCCAUUCACAUCUCCUCUCAUUGCAUCAAUGCUGCAUAACAUUUUGCGCAGCUACGCAACUAUACUGAAUGCAGGUAUGUACACAGGUGUUGCAGACGAUCGCAUGCGGUUGGACACAUGGAGAUAAUCAUUUUCGCAGUAUCCUCAAAACAGUGUCUUUUUGACACAACUGCUGACAGCUACCGGGACUUGGAGACAAGUGUCCACGAUAGUAGGAUUGCCAGAAGAAGACUGUAGGAGGAAGUGGAGAGGACUCAGGGACAGGUAUCAGAGAGCGAGAAGGGCAGAGAAAGAGAAGAAGAGGUCUGGGUCAGCAGCUUCAGGCCAGCGGCCUUGGCGCUUCUGCCACAUUCUUUCUUUUCUGGAUCCAUUUAUUGUGCCUAGGGCAACAAGUGGCAAUUUUACAGCUAGACCCUCUAUGUCAUCCACAAGUGUGACCACCGCCUCCACCAGUGCAGCGAGACCCUCUACGUCAUCUACAAGUGCGACCACCGGUGCAGCGAGACCCUCUACAACGUCUACGUCAUCCACAAGUAUGACCACCACCGGUGCAGCCAUGGAAGAGGAUGAAAUGGAGGAAGCACCUCAGGAUCUAGACCCAGUGAAAUUAUUAUGACCCUCACGGAAGUGACCACUGAGGACCUUGUUGAACAGGAUGUGGCCGUGGAGACAAACAAGGAGAGAAAGGAAGAGGAACAACGUCACACCAGGCAUCUUCCGAGGUACCAGCCCCCAGAUCCACUCAACUCAUUUCAGCAGAGGCUCCUCCAAGCCGUUGAGAGGGAUGCAGCCCAACCUGAUGCUCACAGGAAGGAGGAUGAAGAGACCCUCUUUGCCAUGAGCCUGGUGCCAACCCUGAAGAGGCUACCUCAGCAAAGAAAAGCAGCAGUCAAGAGAUGUAGUCAAUUUAGCCGACCAGCACACAGGAGGGACAGGAAGAGGAGAGGAGUUGUCUGGUUGUUGUUUUGACCUCCCUCAUUGUACCUUUCCUUUCACACACGUCAGUUCCGUUUAAAUUCAGUCAAUUCAUAAAGUAAUUUGUUUCUGAAGUCUUAGGAUAGCAUUCAUUAUUAGUGUUACAUGGAUUCCUGAAUUGACAGAAUUGAAACUCACACACCAGAGAAUUCACAGAUGCUCUUGUUGGUCUCUUACAAGUCUAAAGGUGAAUAUAUUUAUUUUAUUUAAAACCACUUGAAAACCAGGGUGUUUAAACUUUUUUUGAAGUUAUGUUCCAUCGACCGGUCCAUGACGUCCAGGGGCCAUUUGUUUGUUUAGCUGUGUUAUGGUUACACAUUCUUUUCUUUUUAUCUUUUUUUCAGACACACACACACACACACACACACACACACACUGCUCUUCUCCUCGAGGCACCUCACAUUUCCAGUGCCCUGCCAUUUUAUCUCCCUCUGCCUGAGGAGGCUGUUGAGAUGAAUGGUGGUGGCUAACCAUAUGGAUGGAGCAGAGGCAGAUAGAGGGGAGAAGGCAGGCAGACCGGUGAGGGGGUGGGCUGACUGACUGUAUUACUCUCUCUGUCCAUGGGAGAAUCUAAACUGUAUUUCCUUGACUCCUCACGCCCUCUCUCCUCGCCUCCUUCUCAAAGCCCAUUGGAGAAGGUCAGAGCAAGGGAAUGUCAGGUUCCUUCACACUGACCUUCUCCUCCAAUGGGUUUUGAGCGGGAGGUGAGGAGAGAGGAAUCAAGGAAAUGCAACUGAGAUUUUCCAACUGUCCUCAAUUGAGAUUUUCCAACUGUCCUUAUUCUGCUUAAUACAGUGGCUUGCGUAUUCACCCCCCUUGGCAUUUUUCCUAUUUUGUUGCCUCAC